rnacentral:rRNA from 1 species
GAUGAACGCUGGCGGCGUGCCUAAUACAUGCAAGUCGAGCGAACAGAUGAGGAGCUUGCUCCUCUGACGUUAGCGGCGGACGGGUGAGUAACACGUGGAUAACCUACCUAUCAGACUGGGAUAACUUCGGGAAACCGGAGCUAAUACCGGAUAAUAUAUUGCACCGCAUGGUUCAAUAGUGAAAGACGGUUUUGCUGUCACUUCUAGAUGGAUACGCGCCGCAUUAGCUAGUUGGUAAGGUAACGGCUUACCAAGGCAACGAUGCGUAGCCGACCUGUGAGGGUGGUCGGCCACACUGGAGGUGAGACACGGUCCAGACUCCUACGGUAGGCAGCAGUAGGGAAUCUUACGCAAUGGGCGAAAGCCUUGCGGAGCAACGCCGCGUGAGUGAUGACGGUCUUCGGAUCGUAAAACUCUGUUAUUAGGGAAGAACAAAUGUGUAAGUAACUAUGCACGUCUUGACGGUAACUAAUCAGAAAGCCACGGCUAACUACGUG